rnacentral:lncRNA from 1 species
GGAGACUCAGAUAAUAGGAUUGCCACGAAGAAUACAUGAUGUGCCAAGUGCGACUAGCUGAACUAUCAACUACGACCUAAUGAAUGAUGGGUUAAGACCCAAAGGUAUAUCAUGUGUAUGAAUGUAUUUUCGUACAUACCUCUUUACAACUUUCAUGCAUCUAUCUAGUGAAUCACAAGGAUUGAGAAGCGUGUCAACCAUCUAAAGGAGCAAGGAAAAAUAUCUAUGUAACCCAGGUAAGAAAAGGGAACUAUUCCUUUACUUUCUUAAGAAGUAGUCUCUGGUUAUAUAAGGAUGAAAUAAGAGGAGAAAAUUCUCUUAUCCUUUAAGCAGAAGUUGGGAAAAUGGAUCUAAGCUUGGAGAUGCCCCUUAUUAAGGUAAGCCUUACGAUCUUACAUGCUAUGCUGCUCAAGAACAGCAAGUAUGUUAAAAUUUUGCAAUGUGAUUCUGGAAAGCGGUGAGUUAAAUGGAUAGAUCUUGAUGAGUUUAUGUGAUUUAUCGUUUAGGGGUUGUUGAUAUACUCGGUGGAAGCCCAGAUACGGUAUUUGGAGCUGCUAAAGUGAGUAAUUUUUGAGCACCUUGUGAACUUCUUGUAAGUAUAUCGUGAGAAACUCGUGAGAGUGUUAUGAAUCUCUAAACUGACUCUUAUAUGUAUGUUUGUAUAUUAAUAUCUUUUAUACUAAAUAUCUGAUCUGUGAAACGAGAAAGUAAGCAAUAUGUUGAUUCUGUAUACGAUGAACUUGCAAGUGUUGCUUGAUGAUAUGCCUCCAUUAUGAAAAGAUGUAUAUGCUUGAUGAAUGUGUGAAGAAAGCAUGAGUUUGAUGAAUGUGUGUGAAAGUAUGUUGAGUCUGCCAUGAGUAAGUCUCUGCAUGAAAUGAGUCUACGUGCGAUGGUAAAGAAAAGUGUGUUGCAUGUUUGGAAAUGUAAAUCAGCCAAAUGACAGCUUUUAUCUGCACCAAAGGAAUGCUUGUGGUAUUAAGUUCACAAUUUGAUGUGUUUGGAGGAGGGGGUUCUGGGUAUCUCCCUAUUUUGAUGUGAUUUAGUGCUCGAGGGUAGGAUUAUCAAUUGUUAAAUGAAAUGUUAAACGAUAAUUGCAUGUUACAUUCUGCAUACUCAUAAAAAGUACAUAUUGAAAUGGUUGAAUUGUUAAAUGUAUAUAUGGUUAUUGUGAAAAGUAUAAUGAUUUGAUAAUUGAAUUCGUCCUAUUAAUGAUGAUUGAAUGUUUAUGUUCACUUACUUAAGUAGCAAGCUCGAUUUACCAUAUUGAAUUGACUGAUAUGUGUGUACGGGUCCAAAUUUGCCCGGCCUGUUAGAAAACCCAAUAAUAAUAAAAUUCAAAAAUUAAUAAGUCUAAUAUCCAAAUUGCAAACAACUAGUAGGCCUAAAUUACCCAACUUAAACUAAGCCCAAACUUGGAUGGCCCAAUGCCUAAUCCAAAUUUCAGCCAAGCCUAAUCCUAGCUCUUUCUCGAGUGCCGCACCCCACGUGCCUCUGUCAGCGUGUCCGCCGUCCAAGGAUUGUUGCCUUGCACCAAAAUGGAAGCCUUCGCCCGUUGACCUUCUUCAGCCCUGCAAAACAAUCCACGAGUAAGAACACAGCAAAAUGCAAGAACACGCAAGGGCAGACAAGAGAAGGGAACAAAAAGAAAUGAUGACAUGUAUUCGGCUAUAUAUAGCCAGAAGAAAAAUGCAAUUUUUUUUAGAUAGAAUCAAUACAAAAAGGAGAUUCAAAAAACACGAAUAGCAAAUCCACAAAGAGAUUUAGAGAAAAAAAAAAAGGUUAUUGCUAUAUAUAUUUUUUAUUUUCUUUCUUUUCUUUUCGGUUGUAUACAUGUUUUCCCUAUUUUAUCUUUUAAAAACAAUAUCGUGUAUUUAUAUAUAUAAAUAUAAAAAAAUAAAAAAAUUACCUUUUUGGUUUUUCGGCCACCGUACGGCAGACGAUGUCGGUCUGAUGGUCGGACUUGUGGCCGAAAAUCGUGACCCCUCCC